GUAACGGCGAGUGAAGCGGCACAGCUCAAUUUGAAAUCCGGCCUCGGCCCGAGUUGUAAUCUGUAGGGGAUGUCCCUGGCGCGGCGCCACCGAGUUCCCUGGAACGGGACGCCAUAGAGGGUGAGAGCCCCGUAUGGUUGGACGCCAGCCUCUGUGGGACUCCUCCGACGAGUCGAGUAGUUUGGGAAUGCUGCUCAAAUUGGGAGGUAAAUCUCUUCUAAAGCUAAAUACCGGCCAGAGACCGAUAGCGCACAAGUAGAGUGAUCGAAAGAUGAAAAGCACCUUGGAAAGGGGGUUAAACAGCACGUGAAAUUGUUGAAAGGGAAGCGCCUGUGACCAGACUCGCGCCGGGCGGAUCAUCCAGCGUUCUCGCUGGUGCACUCCGCCCGGUACGGGCCAGCAUCGGUUUCCGCGGGGGGACAAGAGCGGCGGGAACGUGGCCCUUCGGGGUGUUAUAGCCCGCCGCACGAUGCCCUCUUGGGGACCGAGGAUCGCGCUCUGCAAGGAUGCUGGCGUAAUGGUCACCGGCGACCCGUCUUGAAACACGGACCAAGGAGUCGUCCAUUACGGCGAGCGUUUGGGUGUCAAACCCCCUACGCGUAAUGAAAGUGAACGCAGGUGAGAGCUUCGGCGCAUCAUCGACCGAUCCUGAUG
rnacentral:rRNA from 1 species